rnacentral:rRNA from 1 species
AACGAACGCUGGCGGCAUGCCUAACACAUGCAAGUCGAACGGGAUCCAGGCUUCGGCCUGGUGAGAGUGGCGGACGGGUGAGUAACGCGUGGGAACCUGCCCAAUGGUCUGGGAUAACCGCGGGAAACUGCGGCUAAUACCGGAUAAGCCCGAGAGGGGAAAGAUUUAUCGCCGAUGGAGGGGCCCGCGUCCGAUUAGGUAGUUGGUGGGGUAAUGGCCUACCAAGCCUACGAUCGGUAGCUGGCUGAGAGGAUGAUCAGCCACACUGGGACUGAGAUACGGCCCAGACUCCUACGGGAGGCAGCAGUGGGGAAUAUUGGACAAUGGGGGCAACCCUGAUCCAGCAAUGCCGCGUGAGUGAUGAAGGCCUUAGGGUUGUAAAGCUCUUUUGCCAGGGAAGAUGAUGACUGUACCUGAGAAUAAGCCCCGGCUAACUUCGUGCCAGCAGCCGCUGUAAU